rnacentral:tRNA from 1 species
AAGACCUAUAAAACACUAACACACAUCUACUGAAUGCAACUUAAACACUUUAAUUAAGCUAAGGCCCU